CCUACGGGAGGCAGCAGUGGGGAAUAUUGCACAAUGGGCGCAAGCCUGAUGCAGCGACGCCGCGUGAGGGAUGACGGCCUUCGGGUUGUAAACCUCUUUCAAUAGGGACGAAGCGCAAGUGACGGUACCUAUAGAAGAAGCACCGGCCAACUACGUGCCAGCAGCCGCGGUAAU
rnacentral:rRNA from 1 species